rnacentral:rRNA from 1 species
GAGUUUGAUCCUGGCUCAGAGCGAACGUUGGCGGCGUGGAUUAGGCAUGCAAGUCGAACGAGAAAGUUUCCUUCGGGGAACGAGUAAAGUGGCGAAAGGGUGAGGAAUGCAUGGACCAUUUACCCUCGGGCCCGGGAUAACAGCUGGAAACGGCUGCUAAUACCGGAUUGUCCAGAAAUGGUAAAGGUGGGGACCUUCGGGCCUGCCACCUGAGGAGAAGUCCAUGUCCUAUCAGCUUGUUGGUGAGGUAACGGCUCACCAAGGCGAAGACGGGUAGCCGGAUUGAGAGGUCGACCGGCCACACUGGGACUGAGACACUGCCCAGACUCCUACGGGAGGCUGCAGUCGAGAAUCUUCCGCAAUGGGCGAAAGCCUGACGGAGCGACGCCGCGUGAAGGAUGAAGGCCCUCGGGUUGUAAACUUCAGUCACACGUUAUGAACAAGCGCUGGUUAAUACCCGGCGCCCUGACAAAAGCGUGAGUGGAAGUCACGGCUAACUUCGUGCCAGCAGCCGCGGUAAGACGAAGGUGGCAAACGUUGCUCGGAAUUACUGGGCAUAAAGCGCGCGUAGGUGGCGAGAUAAGCGAGGAAUGAAAUCCCAUGGCUCACCCAUGGAACUGUUUUUCGAACUGUCUUGCUUGAGGACGGGAGGGGAAGGUGGAAUUCCUGGUGUAGCGGUGAAAUGCGUAGAUAUCAGGAGGAACACCGGUGGCGAAAGCGACCUUCUGGCCCGUUCCUGACACUGAGGCGCGAAAGCUAGGGGAGCAAACAGGAUUAGAUACCCUGGUAGUCCUAGCUGUAAACGAUGGGCACUGGGUAGAGGGGGAGUCGAUCCUUCUCUGCCGUAGCUAAUGUGUUAAGUGCCCCGCCUGGGGAGUACGGUCGCAAGGCUAAAACUCAAAGGAAUUGACGGGGGCUCACACAAGCGGUGGAGCAUGUGGUUUAAUUCGAAGCAACGCGAAGAACCUUACCCGGGUUUGAAAUCCAUGGAUGCUGCCUCUGAAAAGAGGAUUUGUUGCCCUUCGGGGUGAAACGUGGACAGGUGUUGCAUGGCUGUCGUCAGCUCGUGUCGUGAGAUGUCGGGUUAAGUCCCUCAACGAGCGAAACCCCUAUCUUUAGUUGCCAGCGGUUCGGCCGGGGACUCUAGAGAGACUGCCGUUGUUAAAACGGAGGAAGGUGGGGACGACGUCAAGUCAUCAUGGCCUUUAUGUCCGGGGCUACACACGUGCUACAAUGGUCGGUACAAAGGGAAGCAAGAUCGCAAGAUGGAGCCAACCCCACAAAGCCGGCCUCAGUUCGGAUUGGAGGCUGCAACUCGCCUUCAUGAAGCUGGAAUCGCUAGUAAUCGCGGAUCAGCUACGCCGCGGUGAAUAUGUUCCUGGGCCUUGUACACACCGCCCGUCAAGCCACGAAAGCCGGUAGCACCCGAAGUCGCGUACCUAACCGCAAGGAGGGGAGUGCCUACGGUGAGACCGGUGAUUGGGACUAAGUCGUAACAAGGUAGCCGU